UAGCUUCACCCAAAAAAACAAUUGCAACAGUAUACCAUACUUAUCUGACUUAGUUAUCUGUCUAUAUACGUAUACAGCGGUCAAUAUCCCAUUCCGUUUGCGUAGUACGUUUAAAGUGUUUCCAUUUUGAUAAGUACUGUAUUAAAAGCGUAUUUUACUGUACCGUUGCUAUAUACCAUUGCACUUUACAAAUGCGGUGUGCUAUGUUUUUGAAUACAAAGCGACAAUCCUCUAGUAACAUAAUAUCUAGCUAAAUUUUGCUUAGCUAUAAGCCUAUAGUUCUACAUAGAUCUAACAAGGAAAUAUAACGCACCAUUCACCGCACUAUUUUGAUCUUAGCAUAAUUGCUAUAGCUAUCUUACAUGUAGCUAUAAUACAAAGCUAGCAAGCUGCAAAAUUUCAUGAUAACUAUAGCUGCAUGGGGGUGACCAAAGUAAUUUUACCAACAGAAAAAAGCUCUUAUCUUGAGCGUCCUUUUUAGCGUUUAAUUUGCGCUGUAUCAGUGUAUAUUAUGCACGUACUAUGUAAACGUUUACCACUUUGUAAGUUCAUAAUUGAUAAAAAUUGCUGCUACGGAAAUCCCAAAUUUCCUUGUGCGCAAAACGAUUUUUGAUUGCCACACACCCUCCUAAUUAAUGCAAAUCUAUACUGCCACCUGUAGCAUAUUGUCUGCCCGGCCUUGCAGCUGUAGCUGUUCCUCUUAAGCUAACAGUUCUAUUGAUAUAAUAAUUUAUAGGACAACGCAGUUUAAUUAAACUUUUAUAUCGUUUCGGAUUAAGCUUUAUAUGCAGCUCUUUUCUGACAAUUAAGGGAAGGCUUGUAGUGGAUUAUAUUUGUUGUUUAGCCCUUACAACGAGUAUUGUCAGUGGAAGACAACUUCUCAAUCUGCUUUCUGUACGAGAUGAAUUGAUGGGCCCGAAUAUUGAUGCUGCUCUAUAAUAGCACAACAAGAACUCAUUUGCAUUAUCAUAGUCUCGCAAACUUAAUUGUACGUAAAAACGACUAUAAUGUCUUACUAAGAGUUCAUUAGGAAGAGUACGCAACUCCACUAACCGUAGUAAGCAUUCUGUCUAACCUACGUCACAAUCACAUGCUGUUGUAUAAACUGUAAAAUCUUGGCGAUGAUGGAUGAAUACGUUAGUGAGGUUACCACUCAUUGCUUUUCCUUAUCAGCAUUGUUAUUGUUAUUGUUGUAUCUCAAGUGGCUGUGGUUACAUGCAAUAGUGAUGCUGAGAAGUCAAAGGCAGUAUCUUACAAUUGCAGUGAACUGAGUGCAGACUUGCUAUGGUUAACUAACUAUGUUUA